GUGGUGCUAGUGGCGGUGAGGAGCGAAGCACCGGCGGCAUGUUCAAGGCUUCGGUGCCUCGGGUGUGACUGUGAAGUUCAUCACUGUGUUUGCAGAGCACGGCUUUCGCUGGAGCUGCUCCGGGAAGAUCUUGGCGGAUCCCCGGCCUGGUGUGUAUUCGCGCCCCUCAGGGUUCCCUCCGUCACUCAGACCGCGGCUGGAGGAAGGCGCCCUGCCGGAGACCAGUGUACGAGUUCAGAUCAUCUCAGCAAGAACUAGUAUGAGGCUACUCACCGAAGAACAAAGUGGCAUCGUCUGCAGUGAGCCAUGGAGUCAGUUGGAAGCGUGAUGUUGGAUUCUCCACCUCAACCUUUAUUUUGAUGAAGGGCUUGACCACGGCUCCAAGGAAUUGUGGUGCUGUCCCCUGUGCUUGCUCCUCACCAUCCCCUUCCACUGGUUGUGCUGAUGAAUAAUUGAAAAUAAUGGCAGCCUGAACACAGUGGACCUCUCCAACCUUUCCCUGGAAGUAGAAGGUCUCCAAGCUGGACUGCUUUGCCUCUCCCACCACCUCUGGAUGCAUCACAUAAGGAAAGGAAGGAAACACAUUAUAAAACUAGAGUGCCACACAGUCAUCAGCCAAUGGGAUAACUUAGGUGCAUUUUCAUAGACCAGAAGUCUGUUGAUUUAUACAACUGUAAAUCUUCAAUUAAGUCAUGUCCAUCAUCAUAGAAGGAAAACAAAUUAAGUAUACAAGAAGAGCUUAAGUGACACUGGAAAGAUGACAGCACUGCCCAAUGGGAAUUUUGUUUGUGGCAAAAUUGGCAGGCAAACCAAUGAAGUUGCCGAGCAAGGACCAAGCAAAACCAUCAGUGAUGUGGGAAGACCAGAUGAGAUUCUACAGAAUUUUAGCCCAAAUCAAAUGACCUUGUUUCUAUGAAAUAAAAUGUACAGUAAACAUGCCUGAGAGGAAACAAAGGGUGGUGUUGGAGCACUACCCACUGGACCUGUCCCUCAACACAGUAGAGGCUCAUCCUCAGCCUCAGUAGAGGUUCACCCGUAGAUGGCCUUCACCCAAUGCCUGCAUGCCUGAAGGAACAAGGUGCCCCAAGGCAAGUACUCCAGUGUGUUUGUAGGAUUGCCGCCCUCGAACAGGACCUUGACUGCUGGGACAUACUUCCUGAGAGAGCCUGUGAGGUGCUACAAUUGCCAGUGUUUUGGCCACCUUCAGGCACAUUGUGAAGACUCCAUCAAGUACAGUGUGUGUAGCCUGCCCCACCCAACAAAGGAGUGCAUUGCCCACCACAAGGCAAAGGAGCCAACCACCACCAAGUGCUCUUCUAACUGCAGCAAAAGCUAUUAUGCAUGCAGGUCUCCUACGACUGCCCCGAUCCCUCCACCGGUGACAGCAGCAGUUCCAGGCGCCACAAAGGCAUCCAAAACAGCCCAACAACAAGACAAGGCAGCCAUCACCAGCAGGACCAAGCUGGUUGCAAGGAUUCCAGACCACUGCUCCACCUUGCAGACCAAGCUAGUGGCCAUUCAGCUGGCCCUGGAGCACACCCACCAGUGCCAGGAGACCACCGUGGUGCUGCACACUGACUACAGGGCCAGGCUUCAGGUCCUCCAGUAGCUGCAUCCCAGUCACAAUGCCAGACUCAUCACUGCCAUCCUGGGUAGCCUCCAGAGCCUCGCUGCACAGGAGCAGCACACGAGACUCAACUGGAUACCCAGCCAUGUGGGGGUAGCGAGCAACAAGGCAGCCGCUGCUACCACGAUGGGUUGCCUAGUGAUUUAGCACAUGGCUCCAAGCCUGCAUCAGGUGAAGGCAGGAGCAAGGUGUGCUGCAAUCCAGCAUGCCCACCAGUCAUACUGACUACAAGAGGGAAUCAGUAAGCAGGUGGCUUGGUAUGCAGCCGCCACUGCCUAUCAGCAGCUCGACAGCUCCUGGCAACAGCCAAGAGCAGAUGGUGUGCUGCUGCAGUAUAUAAGAUUGGGCUACUGCACCAGGGAGGAGCUGUAUGAUGGCUUCCAUGGUCAGGAAUGCAUCCACUGUAGAAGGUAAACCAUCACCCACUGUUGCACUACCUGCUGUCCUGCCAACCACUGCCCUCAGAUCAGCAUAGCCACCUCCCAGCCAGCCUGAAGGCCAUGGCCUUCUCACCAACUAUGAGGCCAGGGCUACCCUUCUCGUCCGCCACGUGCCCAUUGACGUGAUGCCUCACUAAUGCAUAAUUUACUCACCACAGCUGCAGCAGCACAGAGGAUGGUGAGCAGCUCAUCUUGCCACACCUCAGCGGGCUGGUGCCCACUUUGGGUACUUGUACAUAUGUAUUUAUGUGAUUAUAAAUCACAUACAUAUCAUUGUACUUGUACUUAAGUUAUUUACCAUGCCUGCUCAAUGUUAAAUUAAUUUUUCCAUGUUUGUACUGUAUUAUCACAUCAAAGUUUUAUUACGCUAAUUUUAUUAAAGAUUAUAAAAAUGAGCUACAAUAAAGGAGCUCAGCUAUACAAUGAGUUUUCUUUUCCACAUCAGUUCAUUGUUAAUUUUUUAAAAGGACAUGAAUACCAACUAGAUCUUCAUUUUGGACUAUAUCUGACUAUAUCUGAGUUUUAACUGAUGAUUGCUGUACACCGAUGAUUCUUCAACACAAGCAUCAGU
rnacentral:lncRNA from 1 species